AGUGAACGCUGGCGGCAUGCCUAACACAUGCAAGUCGAACGGCAGCACCGUAAUUUCUUGCUGUUCCCGAUUGCCGAUCGGGUGCGUAAGACGUGUGUACCGGGCCCUUCUUUUUGGGGGGGCUUCACGAAGCUGGAGUUACUCCAAUAUCGCAGACCACCUUCGAGGGAAAGCAGUGGAUAUUUGGACCUGUCGGGGUUGAAUUCGCCGAUGUCGGAUUUGUUAGUUGGCGGGGUAAAGGCCCACCACGGCGGCGAUCCGUAGCUGGUGUGAGAGGAUGGUCAGCCACACUGGAACUGAGACACGGACCAGACUCCUACGGGAGGCAGCAGUGGGGAAUAUUGGACAAUGGGCGCAAGCCUGAUCCAGCCAUACCGCGUGGGUGAAGAAGGCCUUCGGGUUGUAAAGACCUUUUGUUGGGAGAGAAAAGCUGCAGCUUAAUACGCAGCGGGUGUGACGGUACCGGAAGAAUAAGCACCGGCUAACUACGUG
rnacentral:rRNA from 1 species